rnacentral:rRNA from 1 species
UACGGGGGGAGCAAGCGUUGUUCGGAUUUACUGGGCGUAAAGGGCGCGUAGGCGGCCAGCACAAGUCAGUUGUGAAAUCUCCGAGCUUAACUCGGAACGGUCAACUGAUACUGUGCGGCUAGAGUGCGGAAGGGGCAACUGGAAUUCUUGGUGUAGCGGUGAAAUGCGUAGAUAUCAAGAGGAACACCUGCGGCGAAGGCGGGUUGCUGGGCCGACACUGACGCUGAGGCGCGAAAGCCAGGGGAGCGAACGGGG